UUUGCAGUUUUAGGAUGUGAUUCUAUUCAUUUUUGGAGAACUUAUAACUAGAGUUUGCAUAGUUGUAAGUGACAGAUUGGCAGAUGGAUCUGAUAAAAAUUCUAGAGAUAUCUACAUGAUAAUAUGAGACAUUGAAAUUUUUUUGUUAGAUCUCACUUCUAUUUUAUAGCAUGUUUAUAAUGCACUUACUGAGGAUAUAGUUUACUAAUUGAUGUUUUAGACUCACUUUGAUUUGUUAUUUGAAGACGGCUUUGAUGCAAGCUUGUAGAUAUGGUCAUUGGGAAGUCGUUCAGACCCUUCUGCUCUUCAGAUGCAAUGAGAAUAGUUAAUGUAGCUCAUGUUGAGGAUUUUGAAUCCAUUGCCGAUGCUGCUAAACGUGCAACAUGUGAAAAGCGAGCACUUGAUUUAGCUAAGAUUAUUCUCAAAGAAAGGAGAAAAUUUGAAGGCAUUAUUGAAAUUGUAUCAGCAAUUCGGCAAUAUGAAUCCUGAUUCAUGGUUUUCCAUAUCGAUACCUCAUCAUGUACCACGUUUUCCUCCUAUACACUACUCGAGAUUUUGGUGUUCUGCUAUAUUUAACACUUUCACUGUCAACAUUAUGUAUCAAAAAUAUAAAUUUUCUGCUUGAGUCUACUAAUUACAGUUUUAUGGUACAUGUUACUUCUACUGAUCUUCUGAAGCAAAUAAAUCAACCAGAGUUGAGGCUAGCA